rnacentral:rRNA from 1 species
UACGUAGGGUGCGAGCGUUAAUCGGAAUUACUGGGCGUAAAGUGUGCGCAGGCGGCUUCGCAAGUCGAGUGUGAAAUCCCCGAACUUAACUUGGGAAUUGCGCUCGAAACUACGGAGCUGGAGUGUGGCAGAGGAAGGUGGAAUUCCACGUGUAGCGGUGAAAUGCGUAGAGAUGUGGAGGAACACCGAUGGCGAAGGCAGCCUUCUGGGCCAACACUGACGCUCAUGCACGAAAGCGUGGGGAGCAAACAGG